rnacentral:rRNA from 1 species
CAAUAGCGUAUAUUAAAGUUGUUGCAGUUAAAAGGCUCGUAGUUGGAUUUCUGGUGGGAGCACGGGUCGGCCCUCACGGGUUGUACUGUUGUUGCGUCCUGCCGUUUCGGAGGGAAUGGCCUCGCUAUUAAGUUAGCGUGGUCGGGAACUCUGUCGUUUACUGUGAAAAAUUAGAGUGUUCAAAGCAGGCCUUCGCUGUGAAUACAUUAGCAUGGAAUAAUAAGAUAGGACUGUAGUGCUAUUUUGUUGGUUUGCGUACUAUGGUAAUGAUUAAUAGGGAUAGUUGGGGGUAUUCAUAUUCAAUUGUCAGAGGUGAAAUUCUUGGAUUCGGUCAAGACUAACUUAUGCGAAAGCAUUCACCAAGGAUGUCUUCUUUAAUCAAGAACGAAAGUUGGGGGAUCGAAGACGAUUAGAUACCAU